CCUGGAAUUUCAUCUACUGAAGCUCUACAUGUCUAGUCCCUCACUUCCUUCAGUUCUUUCUCAGUUUUCUGAUACAGCUUCCCUGGUGGGCCUUCUUUGCAUGGAACAGUCUGUGCUUCUGGCCAAAUUGACUUAUGCAUUUCAACCUUCCGCACAAUUAAUAGAAAUUACUCCAGAUAAAUGUUUAUAUUGAUACAGGAGUGCUGGAAAGGAAAGACCGCGGUCCCUUUAAAUGAUAUGGAAGCGGGGAAGGGAAGUUCUGGAUAAAGUCCAGUCGCUGGCUGAGGUUCUACCCCCACGGACCUAGGUCAGGACAGGCACUCCUGCUUUGGCACCCAAAUGUUGCAUUUUCCAAGGCCACCCUGGCCUGCUGCACCCCCAUUCUGGGCCUAUAAAACCCAAGACCCUAGCGGGCCAGCACACAGGCGGCCAGACCUCCAGAGGAGCACAUCAGCGGAAGAAGAAAGAAGCGGCUGGAUAGCGAGAGGACCUUGAGGGAGCACCACGACAGAAGAGCACGCUGACGGACGCCAGCACGCUGGCAGGCCAUCCACGGUCGGGACAAGGCAGCGUUUGGCGGGGGCCUUCAGAGGAGAACCCCGGCCGCUGACCCGGCCUGACUCCAGGGAAAAACCAUUUCCCUCUGGCUUCCUCAUCUGCUGAGAGCUACUUCCACUCAAUAAAACCUCGCAUUCAUUCUCCAAGCCCACGUGUGAUCCAAUUCUUCUGGUACACCAGGACAAGAAACCCGGGGAUACAGAAAGCCCUCUGUCCCUUGUGACAAGGUAGAGGGUCUGCUGAGCCCUGAUUCUCAAACCGAUUCUACUUUUCCACGUGCCAGAAAGUUUGUUACAAAAUAAUCUACUUGUUCUGACAAAUGUCUCUCUGACAAGAAAAAAGAUCUUUCUACAGUCUUUACAUAAUCUCUCUCUAUCAUACUAAGGAGAAAAAUAAAAUUAGCAACCAAGCAAUGCUGCAGUCCCUUUCCUCAGAAUCAUAUCCCUAGAAAGAGAAAAUGGGAGCAUUAAAAAGAAAAAUAAACUUAUUGCAAGCAAAGUAAACUCCCGCUAAGUAUUGUUAUUUUUUUCCUUGCAGAAUUCACAGUCUAAAUUUUUGCUAGUUAUACAAUGAGUAUACAGAUUGAUGUAUACAAAAGAAUAAGGGGUCAAGAAUAUAUUUCUAAAUUAAAUUUAGGCCA
rnacentral:lncRNA from 10 species